AACUUUCAACAAUGGAUCUCUAGGCUCUCGUAUCGAUGAAGAACGUAGCAAAUUGCGAUAACUAGUGUGAAUUGCAUUUUCAGUGAAUCAUCGAGUCUUUGAACGCAUCUUGCACUCUGUGGUAUUCCGCAGAGUACGCCUGUUUCAGUA
rnacentral:rRNA from 1 species